rnacentral:rRNA from 1 species
GAUGAACGCUGGCGGCGUGCCUAAUACAUGCAAGUCGAGCGAACGGACGAGAAGCUUGCUUCUCUGAUGUUAGCGGCGGACGGGUGAGUAACACGUGGAUAACCUACCUAUAAGACUGGGAUAACUUCGGGAAACCGGAGCUAAUACCGGAUAAUAUUUUGAACCGCAUGGUUCAAAAGUGAAAGACGGUCUUGCUGUCACUUAUAGAUGGAUCCGCGCUGCAUUAGCUAGUUGGUAAGGUAACGGCUUACCAAGGCAACGAUGGAUAGCCGACCUGAGAGGGUGAUGGCGCACACUGGGAGUGAGAGGCCGUCCAGGGACCGAGGGGAGGCAGCGGUACGGAAUGUAGGGCGAUGGGCGGAAGCUUGACGGAGGGGCGAAGGGCUGGUGCUGAGGGGCUUCGGGUGGGAAAACGGUGUUCGUGGUGAAGAACAUAUGCAGCAGGGAAGGAGCCAAACGUGACGGUACCUGCAGAAGAAGCCCCGGCUAACUACGUG